rnacentral:rRNA from 1 species
UACGGGGGGGGCAAGCGUUGCUCGGGAAUCAACUGGGCGUAAAGGGUGGCGUAGGCGGGUCUUUAAAGUCAGGGGUGAAAUCCUGGAGCUCAACUCCAGAACUGCCCUUGAUACUGAGAGCUUGAGUCCGGGAGAGGUGAGUGGUAACUGCGAGUGUAGGAGGUGAAAUUCGUAGAUAUUCGCAAGAACACCAGUGGCGGAAGGCGGACCG